rnacentral:rRNA from 1 species
UAGUCAUAUGCUUGUUUCAAGGACUAAGCCAUGCAAGUCUCAGAGUAAAUGGAUCACAGUAGGUCUGCAAACAUCUCAUUGAAUCAACUUCAAUCUACGCCGAGAAACUGCCUUUUGGCAGACUAUUGGAUGACUUUGGUAACCCCAAAGCUAAUACAUGUCAGCAAAACCCGCACAGAUUCAACCUGGGGACCUUGGUUCCUGGGCUGUGUUGGGUGCAAUUGACCGAAACAAAAAUAAACGCUGGCAAUAGCAACGGUGAUUAGAUGAUUCAGGUUAAUCGAGUAGUAGCGCAUGCUUCCGUGGCGCUGGUCGGCAUGAGAAUCUGCCCUAUCAGCUUUUGACGGUAGUGCAGUGGACUACCGUGGCUGUGACGGGUAACGGGGAAUUAGGGUUCGAUUCCGGAGAGGGAGCCUGAGAAACGGCUACCACAACUAAGGUUGGCAGCAGGCGCGCAAAUUGCCCAAUAGCAACACAUCGCUGAGGCAGCGAAGAUAAAUAGCAACUUCAUGCGGCCCUGCCGUGUGAAGAUUGCCAUGGACGAUAUCUAAACCUGUCGGUGAGUAUCAAUUGGUGGACAGGUCGUCAGCACCCGCGGUAAUUCCAGCCCCAAUGGCGUAUAUUAAUGCUGCUGCUGUUAAAAGGCUCGUAGUUGGAUCAAGAGCUUGACAGUGCACGGUGGCCCUGUUUAUCGAGGUGGUUCCGAUCACCGCGGUGGCAGCGGAUCAACCCCGUGCGCCAAACUGUCGACUCGAACAGACCGAAACGGUUCCCUGUGAGUAGGCUCCUUUCUUAGAUCGUAGAAAGGCGAACUUCUGCGAAAGCAUUCGACAAGAAUGUCUUCAUUGAUCAAGAACGAGGGUGUGGGGAUCGAAGAUGAUCAGAUACCGUCGUAGUCCACUACUGUAAACAAUGCCGUCUCAGGAUUGAGAAGUGAACAGAAUGACUUUCACAGCACUAACCCCUGAAACGCGAAAUCAAAGAUUAUGGGUUCAGGGGGAAGUACAUUCGCAAGACUGAAACUUAAAGGAAUUGACGGAAUGACACCACAAGGCGUGGAGUAUGCGGCUUAAUUUGACUCAACACGGGGGAUUUUACUAGAUCAGGACAAUGUAAGGAUUGACCGAUUGGGAGCUCCUUCUCGAUCCAUUGUGUGGUGGUGCAUGGCCGCUCCUGGUUGGUGGAGUGAUUCGUCUGGUUGAUUCCGUUAACGAACGAGAUCUCGACCCUUAAAUAGGCGCCCGUGUCGAAUGUAGUUUCGCCUUCGCGUACUUGUACGAUUGGAGCGGGACGAGACUGCGGGAAUACUUCUUAAGGGGACUGUGUGUGUCUCUAGCACGCGGAAGAGCGAGCCAAUAGCAGGUCUGUGAUGCUCCUGAAUGUCCUAGGCUGCACGCGCACUACACUGAUGCAAUGAACGAGUCUGAGUGCAUUCUGGCAACCUACCUGGAAGCGGGUGGGAAAUAUUUUGAACUUGCAUCGUGAUGAGGAUCGACGAUUGCAAUUAUUCUCCUUGAAUGAGGAAUGCCUAGUAGGCACAAGUCAGCAGCUUGCACUGCUUACGUCCCUGCCAUUUGUACACACCGCCCGUCGUUGCUACUGAUUGGCUGUAGGAUAGAGUUGGGCGGAUUUCCGACA